GGUUGUUCCAAGUGCAGUGGUAUUUACAACUAAUUGAUCACAGCUAGUUACAGGUUCCUUUGUUCCUUGUCCACUCACACUGCUUCACUUGACCAGUCUUUA
rnacentral:Y_RNA from 1 species